rnacentral:rRNA from 1 species
AAAUAUAACAAUGGCCUUUGUGAUUCGUAUAAAUAUAAUGCAUCACCAGGCGCGGCGUGCCGCCGCGCGGGCUAUGCUAGUUAAAACAAAAAGCUGAAGCCUAAAAAUGACGAUAGUACAUGGAACUGCAAAUUAUUAUGGACAAUUACACAUGUUUGAGAGCUGUGGAGGAGCACCAACAAUGGUGCCCAGAUGAGGGUUCAUUUUAUCAAUCGUCGCCUCCAUAUCAAUGCAAUCGUGUUGAAAUCUGUUUGAUUCCGAGAACAUCUUCUACUCUAGUGGUACAGACAGAUUGCACAAGAGAUUGGUGCAGGAAGUGGUGGAUGGAUGGAUGGAUCAUCGCCCCUCGCCACGGGCGUUCAGCUGGGAGAAGACCUGGCUAUCGGCGAGGUCGGUCAUGCUCAGGCCCGUCUCGUCCGCGUCGUCCAUCAUCAGCAGGCUGGUGGACGAUGGCACCCACCGCGGCACGACCACGUCGGCGGGGAGCUGCGUGGCGACGGCGCCGCUGUCCUCGAACGCGUCCCUGUUGACGUGCGUCUCCUGCAGCUGCAGGCAGUACUCGAGGUUCCACAGCACGUCGCCCAUGGACGGCCGGUCCGCGCCGUAGUCGGCCAGGCACCUCUCGGCCGUCUCGGCGAACUUGCGCAGCGAGUUGUCGUUCACCUCGCCGGCGAUCCUGGCGUCGGCGAUCUUGUCGAGCUUCCCCUCCCCGUGCAUCCUGACGGCCCACUCGGCGAUGUUGAUCUGGUCGCGGUCCAGGCUCUGGUCGAUGACCGGGCGCGCGCAGAGCACCUCGAAGAGCACCACGCCGAAGGAGUAGACGUCGGAGCGGUCCGUGAGCUGCUGCGUCUUGAAGUAUUCGGGGUCGAGGUACCCGAAGCUGCCCUUGACGGCCGUGCUGACGUGCGUCUCCCCCAGCGACGGCCCGAUGCGCGAGAGACCGAAGUCGGCCACCUUGGCGAUGAUCGCGCCGCCGCCGGUGCUGCCGCCGCCGUCGGUGCCGAGGAGGAUGUUGGUGGACUUGACGUCGCGGUGGAUGAUGUUCUCGGAGUAGCCGCUGUGCAGGUAGUGCAGGCCCCUGGCGGCGCCGAUGCAGAUCUCGAGCCGCUGCUUCCACGAGAGCGGCGGCUCGUCGUCGGAGCCGCCGUACAGGUGGCCCCGCAGCGUGCCCUUCUCCAUGUACUCGUACACCAGAAUCAUCUCCGCCUGCUCGUUGCAGUAGCCGAUGAGCGAGACGAGGUGCCGGUGCCGGAUGCCGGACAGCACCACGAUCUCCGUGUGGAACUCCGGCAGGCCCUGCUUGGAGGCGCGCAUGGCGCGCUUCACAGCCACGGGCGUGCCGUCCGCGAGCGCGCCCUUGUACACGUUGCCGAACCCGCCGACGCCGAUGAGGUUGCGGUCGUGGAAGUUGUCCGUGGCGGCCUUGAGCUCCGCCAGCGAGAUGUGCAGCUUGGUGCUCACCCUCUGCAUCCUGGCGGUGGUGCCCUCGCUGGACCGGUUCGCCGACUCGUCGGCCCAGCCGGAGAUGCCUUCCUGCGUGUACGGUGACCACGGCAGCUGCGUGCUCUCCUUGUCCUCCGUCGACCCCGGCGGCGCCACCUGCCUCCGCUUCCUCCGCCGCACGACGAAAAAGCAGAGCACCGCGGAAGCAAGGACGGCGGCGCCGAGCACCGUCGCGAGCACGAUUAUGACGAUUCUCUUCGUCCGGCCGUGCGACCCCGUCGAGCUCAGAUUAACGGUUUGCAGCUUCAUGAUCUCCAGGCCGUUCAGUAUGCCGCCUUUGCUGCUUUUCUUCGACCUGCCGAUGCUGACGGUGAGGUUCCCGGCUCUCGGCGCCAUGGCCGCGUAGUCGAUGUAGAAGGCCUCGUUCGACUGCCUCGCCCGAGCACUCGGCGUGAGGUCUGGAGUGCCAAUGGCUUGCGCGACGUAGACGUUGAAGACGAUGACAGUGCCGACGACGGAGCUGACCACCUCGUAGUCGCAGAAGUGGAGGCGGACGAGGUAGCGGGACCCCUGAUCCGCCGGGAACGUCCACGUGACGUUGAAGUUGAAGCCCGGGGUUGUCGCCUGCAGGAGGUCCGUCACGUUCGCCGCGCGCUGCGUCUUGUACACCACGUCCGGCGCCACCUCCUGUGUGUAACCGUUGGACGGGGCGGGCCCGCCGACGUUGAGGCGGUACACCGUCUCCAGCGCGUCCAGCGGCCACUCGGGCAGGUCAUUGCUCCCCACAGGGUCCACCGGCACCGCCGUGUUGUUCCACAGCAGCUCCGGCGGGGCCGAGAACAGCUCGACGGCGUUGACGAACGCGGAGGAGCCGGCUUCCGGGGCGAACCUGACGGUGAAGUCGCCGCCGGAGGCUCCGCGCGGGACGAAGAACUCCUUGACGACGCCGUCGGCCGGCGGCGAGAAGGCGGGCAGCAGGGCGUAGGCGUCGAGGACCGAGACGGUGAACCGCGCGGAGGAAAGACUGGUGGAGGAGGAGGAGGCGGGGACGAACGGGAAGAAGUGGAGGCGCAGGACGAGGAACGACGACGCGUCCGGCGCGGCAGGGUAGGUGAGGCGGUAGGAGAAGGCCGAGGUGUCGGCGCGCGCGGCGGCGUACAGAGGGGAGGCCGCGUUGGAGCUGGCACUGGCAGACACCGCGGCGGCGCCCCCCUGCGAGAGGUAGCCGUCGUCCCGCACGAAGGUGCGCGCGGGGUUGUCGGACGGGAAGGGCACGUCGGCUCCCGCGCCGCACGCGAGGAAGAUCUUGAAGUCCGGGGAGAAGGCGGCGAGGGCGGUGUAAGGGAGGACCGUGGCGACGAGAAGGAGGAGGAGGAGGGGGAGCACGACGUGGACGGCCAUUCAGCUCAGGCGAUGGUGGAGCCGUGGCCGGGCGGGCGUGCGGGUGGUGGUGGGAGAUGAGGCGAUCAUGGGGAUAAGCACGAGUGCGGCGGGCGGCGGUGGUGGUGGAGGGAACACGGCG